rnacentral:rRNA from 1 species
GACGAACGCUGGCGGCGUGCUUAACACAUGCAAGUCGAACGGAAAGGCCCUGCUUUUGUGGGGUGCUCGAGUGGCGAACGGGUGAGUAACACGUGAGUAACCUGCCCUUUACUUUGUGAUAACUUCAGGCAACUGGGGCUAAUACCGGAUAGGAGCUCCUGCUGCAUGGUGGGGGUUGGAAAGUUUCGGCGGUUGGGGAUGGACUCGCGGCUUAUCAGCUUGUUGGUGGGGUAGUGGCUUACCAAGGCUUUGACGGGUAGCCGGCCUGAGAGGGUGACCGGCCACAUUGGGACUGAGAUACGGCCCAGACGCCUACGGGAGGCAGCAGUGGGGAAUAUGGCACAAUGGGCGGAAGCCUGAUGCAGAAACGCCGCGUGCGGGAUGACGGCCUUCGGGUUGUAAACCGCUUUCGCCUGUGACGAAGCGUGAGUGACGGUAAUGGGUAAAGAAGCACCGGCUAACUACGUG